CCAAUAGCGUAUAUUAAAGUUGUUGCAGUUAAAAAGCUCGUAGUUGAAUUUCGGGAUCAAUAUAUCGGUCGUGCCAUUGGUACGUACUGGUAUCAUUGGUUUCUCCUUUCUGACGAACCAUGAUGUCAUUAAUUUGGUGUUAUGGGAAGUUAGGACUGUUACUUUGAAAAAAUUAGAGUGUUUAAAGCAGGCUUUAGCUUGAAUACAUUAGCAUGGAAUAAUGAAAUAGGACGUUCGAACCUAUUUUGUUGGUUUCUAGGAUCAACGUAAUGAUUAAUAGGGAUAGUUGGGGGCAUUAGUAUUCAAUUGUCAGAGGUGAAAUUCUUGGAUUUAUUGAAGACUAACUACUGCGAAAGCAUUUGCCAAGGAUGUUUUCAUUAAUCAAGAACGAAAGUUAGGGGAUCGAAGACGAUCAGAUACCGUCGUAGUCUUAACCAUAAACUAUGCCGACUAGGGAUCGGAUGAUGUUAAUUUUUUAAUGACUCAUUCGGCGCCUUAC
rnacentral:ncRNA from 2 species